AGGCCCCCUGCACAGUAAUUACAGGUGUAUAGGCCCCCUGCAUAGUAAUUACAGGUGUAUAGGCCCCCUGCACAGUAAUUACAGGUGUAUAGGCCCCCGGGAUAGUAAUUACAGGUGUAUAGGCCCCCGGGAUAGUAAUUACAGGUGUAUA